CAGGACUCGCAAGACUCCUAACCCCUGUGAACCUACCCAAAGCGCGUUGCUUCGGCGGGUGUCCCGGCCCGUCCGGGACGUCCACGCCCGCCGGCAGCCCCCUACACUCUGUUUUCAUGCGUUGGCAUCUCUGAGUGAUUACCAAUAAGUCA
rnacentral:misc_RNA from 1 species